rnacentral:lncRNA from 1 species
ACUGGUUUCAGUGUGAGCAUACAGCAGUCCGGAGCCAAAAUUUGGUGGCUCUAGCUCUUAUAGGCUGUGAGAACUAGCCGACACACAAGACGGACAGACGGACGGACGGACGGACAGACAGACAUGGCUCUAUCGACUCGGCUAUUGAUGCUGAUCAAGAAUGUAUAUCCUUUAUGGGGUCGAAAACGCUUCCUUCUGUGCGUUACAUACAACAGUUAUUCACACAAAUACAAUAUACCCUAUUUACUCUUCAGGUACCGGGUAUAACAAUGUAUGACAUAUUCUUCGGUUCUUUAUGUUGUAUUAAACAAGCACAACGUUAAAAAACUAACUUAUCUGUCUCCUUUACGAUCAACAUAAGAUACUUCCGUUACAUCUACUAAGGCUUAGAAAAACUCUAAUGUGUAUGAAAAAAAUAAUCAAUAGGGGAAACAAAUUCUUGGCGAUAUAUGUAUUUUC